AAUCAACGCUGGCGGCGUGCCUCAGACAUGCAAGUCGAACGAUUAAAGCUCUCUUCGGAGAGUGUAUAGAGUGGCGCACGGGUGAGUAACACGUAAGUAAUCUACCCUCGAGUGGGGAAUAACAACCGGAAACGGUUGCUAAUACCGCAUAAUGCAGCGGCACCGCAAGGUGACAGUUGUUAAAGAUUUAUCGCUUGAGGAGGAGCUUGCGGCAGAUUAGCUAGUUGGUAGGGUAACGGCUUACCAAGGCUACGAUCUGUAACCGGUCUAAGAGGACGGUCGGUCACACUGACACUGAAUAACGGGUCAGACUCCUACGGGAGGCAGCAGUCGGGAAUUUUGGGCAAUGGGCGAAAGCCUGACCCAGCAACGCCGCGUGAAGGAUGAAGUAUUUCGGUAUGUAAACUUCGAAAGAAUAGGAAGAAUUAAUGACGGUACUAUUUAUAAGGUCCGGCUAACUACGUGCCAGCAGCCGCGGUAAAG
rnacentral:rRNA from 1 species